GAACGUUCAAGAAUAUAUAAAUUCCAAAAAUCGAAACUCAUCUAUUCUGUUCUACUUGUGCCUCAAAUCGUUAUAUUUCUAAAACGUACACAUUUUAAUUUUGAUAUAGCGAUUGAAUACUUAAACUACCUUUCAAACACUUUACCAUUCGAAAAUUUGCUUCAAAAAUAAUGGAAAAGAAAUUUGCUUUUUUAAUAUUCGUGUUCAUAUUCUUGAUUAGCAGUAUGGACAGUGCUGCCGAAAAUUGUGACAAUAAGCGUUGUACAUGGACUACUCAUUGUGAUGGAUGUGGCAAAGAGUAUGAUUGUGACUGGUAUGUCCAUGAAUGGCGCGUUAUGUGUGGAUAUUAUGAUCCACUAGACGAUGAUGAUGACUCACUUUACUACAAAUAAAAAAUUCAAAGUAUGGAAAACCAAGCCCUUCCGUUCGGGUAUCAAUCGUUACAACUCACGUCCGACACUGAAAAAAUGAAUUAACUUUUGUAAUAACAAUAUUUUAUCAAAUUGUACAUCAAUAAAAAUUAUCACAC